rnacentral:rRNA from 1 species
GAGGAAUAUUGGUCAAUGGACGAGAGUCUGAACCAGCCAAGUAGCGUGAAGGAUGACUGCCCUAUGGGUUGUAAACUUCUUUUAUACGGGAAUAAAGUGAGGCACGUGUGCCUUUUUGUAUGUACCGUAUGAAUAAGGAUCGGCUAACUCCGUGCCAGCAGCCGCGGUAAUACGGAGGAUCCGAGCGUUAUCCGGAUUUAUUGGGUUUAAAGGAGCGUAGGCGGACGCUUAAGUCAGUUGUGAAAGUUUGCGGCUCAACCGUAAAAUUGCAGUUGAUACUGGGUGUCUUGAGUACAGUAGAGGCAGGCGGAAUUCGUGGUGUAGCGGUGAAAUGCUUAGAUAUCACGAAGAACUCCGAUUGCGAAGGCAGCUUGCUGGACUGUAACUGACGCUGAUGCUCGAAAGUGUGGGGUAUUCAAAACAGGAUUAGAUACCCUGGUAGUCCACACAGUAAACG